rnacentral:rRNA from 1 species
GAUGAACGCUGGCGGCGUGCUUAACACAUGCAAGUCGAACGAUGAAGCCCAGCUUGCUGGGUGGAUUAGUGGCGAACGGGUGAGUAACACGUGAGUAACCUGCCCUUGACUCUGGGAUAAGCGCUGGAAACGGCGUCUAAUACCGGAUACGAGCUUCCACCGCAUGGUGAGUUGCUGGAAAGAAUUUCGGUCAAGGAUGGACUCGCGGCCUAUCAGGUAGUUGGUGAGGUAACGGCUCACCAAGCCGACGACGGGUAGCCGGCCUGAGAGGGUGACCGGCCACACUGGGACUGAGACACGGCCCAGACUCCUACGGGAGGCAGCAGUGGGGAAUAUUGCACAAUGGGCGCAAGCCUGAUGCAGCAACGCCGCGUGAGGGACGAAGGCCUUCGGGUCGUAAACCUCUUUUAGCAGGGAAGAAGCGAAAGCGACGGUACCUGCAGAAAAAGCACCGGCUAACUACGUG